CUCUACCACACUUGCACUGUGUCCAGGAGAAAUUGAUUUAAAAACAAACAGAAAAAACCUCUCCCAAGAGCCAUCCAGGGUGAAUUUACUAAAUUGUUCACGUGGGAGGGAAUGGAAAGGUCUGCAUCCUGCUGGUUCCUUUUCUGCAGCACAGGAGAAAGGCAGUGAUGGACAGAGCAUGUGUGUGAGCAGGAGGGAACAAGGAUUUCUGUGUGGCUGCAGGAUAUGAGGAGAAACAGCCUAAAAAAUGACAUGGAAAACAUGUAGAUCUUCCUGCUAGCUGUUCUGUUUCAUUCUGGAGGAGCUGCAGUGCAGGGAGCAUGUUGGGAACGGACAGACAUCUUGAUGGAUUUCCCUGGACCUGGUAAACCUGGUUAGGAGAGUGCCCGUCUGCAAUUCUCUUCUUCCAGCACACUUAGGAAAGCACUGAGGAAGUACACUGCCGAUGGAAGGAACAGACUCAGUGCCUGCAGUAUGAGGUGCACAGGGGAGAGAGAACUGCUCUCUCCAGUCUGUAUCAAGACAAGCAGAACUUGAUCAGCUGGGGAGAGAGGACGAACUGCCACAGCAGUGCCAAAAUUUCUGGCUUGUGUUCUUGAGCUCUGCUGUUUGUGUGUCAAAAAUUGAAAGUGUAACUGGGAGACCUCAAUACAAAGCUCUGGAUUUUCUUACUUACUCCAACAGAAAGCAAACAAG